AAAUUCGAUCAUGGAUUACAAAAAAAAACAAAAAAUUCAAUCAUGGAUUACAAAAAAAGAAAAAAACAAUUCGAUCAUGGAUUACAAAAAAUUCAAUCAUGAAUUACAAAAAACUCUAUCAUGGGUUACAAAAAAAGCAAAAAACAAAAAAUUCAAUCAUGGAUUACAAAAAAAAAACAAACAUUUCGAUCAUGGAUUACAAAAAAACAAACAUUUCGAUCAUGUAUUACAAAACAUUCGAUCAUGG
rnacentral:lncRNA from 1 species